UUCAAAGUGGAAUUCAUCAGCAAAUAACGUUACUAAUGCUGCAAAUGAGUGGGGCUGGGUGGGGUUGGGCUGGCUCUCACCCUGCCCUCCAGAUGCAAUGAGUGUGGGGACACUGGUGACUUCUACAAAGGCUCAUUGAAAAGGUCCAGUCCAGCAGCGGCUUGGUCUAAGAUAUGGGAACUAAAUUCAGAGAGAUGAAGUGACCUGUCCAAGUUCGAACAACUUCUCUGAAGCCAAGAUCUCCUCCUCUGAAUUUGUGGCUGCAAAACUUCUUUCCAAGUGCAGAGCCACACGAGGGCAGCACAUCACCAGUGUUGCCGCUUCCUGGUCCAGGAGCCGACUCUGGAAUACCCCAGGGUGCAUUCUUAUGGGGUUCCCAAUUGGACCACCUGUGUGAUGCCAGGAGACUGUGUGGCAUGCAAAGAUGGCCUCCACUGAGCUGCAUCUCUCAAGACUCUCACCUUUCCACAUGGAAGGCAGACUGGCCCUGGACAGAAGGUAGAGUUUGCACCAUUUCACGGCUUUCCAUUUGAAUUUUGUGCUCUUUGGGACCCUAGGCUACCAUGUCAGAAAACUGCCAAAGCUUCUGGAGAGAUCACGUGAAAAAGCCUCGAAACUUAGAGAGGAAGAGAAAGAGAUAGACACCCAGGGGUCCUAGCAUCCCAGUUGAGCCUCUAGGUGUCUCCAGCCCCAGUUGCCAUCUGACCACACCUGUAUGAGAGAUUGGAGCAAAACCAGCAGAAGAACUGCCCCGCUGAACCCAGUCAGCUCAUAGAACCAUGAGAGACGAUAAAAUGAUAGCUGUUUUAAUGCAGCAAUAGAGAACUGAAGCAGGUAGUUUGUGUUUCCUUGCAUGUUCAGCUUGAAAUGUCUCUGCAGUCCAUGAAGGAGUGGGGAGAAAGCCCCAUUUUUACAGCACCACAAGGCAGCCUGCACCCCUCCUUCCCUGUCUCAGGCUUUGAUAAGUUUCAUGAAGCCAGGCUAGGGAGCAGUGACAGACACAGACUCUAGGCUCUCUGCCUUUCCGCAUUUCCUCAAGAUUCCUCUCAAAAUAUCUGUUCCUUCUCCCUCAGCUGAAAAACCCUGAGACAAUUUAACACUGGCAGUCUGGUCCACCCAUUCCUUAGGCAUCCUGGGAUAACCUCAAGCUAGGACUCCCUGCUUUGAUUAAAAGAUUAAAUGAGAGAAAUCCAAAUGUGAAGUUAUUUGUUCUUUGUUAAAAUUAUUUGGAAAGGUGUGACCUCCUUCUGAUCUGAUUAUAGACACCUCAGGGCAGAAAGAAGGUUCAGAGAUACUUGGUCUUGCAGCCAUCCUCAAAUGUACCAAAAAUUUUUGGUAGAAUAAGUAAAUAUUACAUCUUGCUUGCCUGCCUGCUAAUUGGAAAAUUAGUAUAAAUAUUCUAAAUCAUAACAUGCAAAUUUAUCUAAAAGAAUCACUGAAUCUCCUAGAAGGUUUUGGUCAUUACACAUUCUUUCAAACAAUGAAUACCAAAACCAACUACAGAGGUGAGCCUGUAAUAUACUUUGUACUCCUAAAUGGAACUCUACUCAAAAAUAGGGGAAACUCUUGAUCUAGUCUAACUCUUAUUUUAUUAAUGAAGAAACUAUAGCUAAAAAAAGAAGAAAUGGCUCACAAGAGGUUGGAGAUUUUCCAGGAAAGUUCCAAGUUGAAAUUUCUCAGCCUUGAAGAUGGCAACACAGGAUCCCAUGUCUAUAUGCAGGAACUUCCAAGACACAAAGUAUGCCUUUAAAAUCUCAGUUUUACAACAACAGCUAUCAGCAGAAAGAAGUAUAAAUGGUCCGAUUUUUUUAAAGUGUUCAAUUUGCAGGGUGAUAUGGCUUGGAUCUGUGUCCCUGCCCAAACCUCAUGUCAAAUUGUCAUCCCCAAUGUUGGAGGUGGGGCCUGGUGAUUGGAUCAUGGGGGCAGAUUUCCCCCUCCUUGCUGUGAUGGUGAGUGAGUGCUCACAAGAACUGGUUCUUUAAAAGUGUGUAGCACCUUCCCCAUCUCUCUCUCUUGUUCCUGCUCUGGCCAUGGAAGAUGAGCCUGCUUCCCCCACACCUUCUACCAUGACUGCAAGUUUCCUGAGGCCUUCCCAGAAGCCAACGGAUGGCCAGUAUCAUGCUUCCUUUACUGUCUGCAGAACGAUCAGCCAAAUAAACUUCUUUUCUUCAUAAAUUACCGAGUGUCAGGUAUUUUUUUAUAGCAAUGUAAGAGUGGGCUAAUUGACAGGGGCUUUCUCACCUUUGGAGAAGGAAACUUCUUCAAGAUAAGGUACAUGUCACUGUUCUGUGGGUCUUUCAUCCUUUGUUCAUAUUGUCUAUCCACCAACAAAUACUUACUGAGCAUCUUCUUUUCUUGGGCACCUUUGGGUUUAAAGCCUUUGCCCUCCAAGGGCCUACAAGCUAGUUAGGGAGAUGGUGGGUACAACUAAAUGCAGCAGGAGAUGUGCUGUGGUAGAGGCAGCACAUGCUCUGCCUGGAUUCCCUCCCAUCCCCAUUGCCAAUUCUGCACCUCAAGUCCCUCCUGCAGACUUUGCUCCUGCUGGCCCACAUCUGCGACUUUCUUCUGAAGACUCCAAGAGGGCUACUGGAGACACCAAAAGAAGAGCCGCCACACAGAGACCCAAGUCCCUGGCAAAGAUAAAGCACAACUUAUGGGACCCCUAGCUCUCUCUUACCAGGAAAGAAAAGGGUCCAGUGCAAGAGAGACGGAUGCUCCAGAGGAUCUUCUUGUCAGAAGAGGGAACUCCUAACUAAAAGCCUGGCUAAUAUUUGCCUUAGCCUUAGAGAGCUGUAUUUGCACGGGUUCCUAAUGGUAUCUGGUGAAGCCCCCAUCAGUCCUUUCUCCCUGUGUGUGUGUUGAUAACCAAUCAACCUUGUUUGCCUAGGACUUUCUUCAUUUUAGUACUACAAGUUCCAUGUCCUGAAAAACCCUCAGUCCUGGACAACUAGGAGAGUUGAUCUCCCUGAAAGGGAGGAGACGGAGAGGGUGAGGGAGAGAAGAUGGAGACCUCAAUCAUGUGCAUACAUUCCUCUCUGAGUUUCUUACCUCCCUGGCACUUAUAUUCUAAAGUCCCCAGAACAUGGCUCUUCUACUGAUUAGAUACAUGACUUAUCUCUCUGAGCCUCAGUUUAUUUAUCAACAAAAGGGGCUAAUUAUCUUCCCUGCCUGCCACUGCUAAGAAAUUAAUAUCCUUUUCCUCUCCCAGCCUCAUGUCAUCAUGGCCCUUCUCAUCCUGCCAAGCUUCUGUGGACCAUCACAGUAGUUACCCUCGCUCCCGUUCAGAUAGUUGUCUGGCUAAAUCCCGACCUGGCUAGAUACAGUUAUUGUCCUACUCUUUCCCUGAACCUGAGAAGAGGAUGCAGUUGGAGAAAACUACACUCUUAGGCUGAUGGGUCUCACUUUAAAUUGUGACCACAAGUGACUGGAGGGCCCUUGGCACUGCUGAACAACACUGGUAUUUCCCAGAUCUCAUGACUACUUCACACCCUUUCCCCUCCCCCUAGGCCUCUGCAAAGCAGUCUUAGUUGAGAGCCCUGAAUCUGAUUUCACUGAGAAAAUAGAAGCAAUCAGAAGAAAAAUAUGUCAUCUCCCCCCUACCCCACAGGCACAGCCUGCAUCUGCGCCAGGCUCUCUGCCUUCCCUCAUGUGCUCCCAUCUGAGGCCAGCCCUUCCUCCAGUGCUCCCGUGUGAGGCCAGCCCUUCCUCCCAUGCUCCCGUCCAAGACUAGCCCUUCCCUCCUGUGUUCCUGUGUGUGGCCAGCCCUUCUUCCCUUGCAUCCGUGAGAGGCCAGCCUUUCCUCCCCUGUGAGGCCAGCCCUUCCCCCCGGGCUCCCACGUGAGGUCGAACCUUCCUCCCGUGCUCUGUCUUCCACUUUUCUUACCAGCUCCACACCAUGGUCCCUGUGAUAGUCAUUUCUCUCUCUGUAUUAUCCCUCACUGCCCCUCAUGUCCUUCCCACACCACCCGCACUUCUGGAUUGCUGCCAACUGUUUACAGAGAAGCUGUCAAUCUCAUCUCAUUUCCUACCUACCCCUCUUCCUUCACUCACUACUAAAUUGUGUUCCCCACAAAUGUGUAUGUUGAAGCCCUCACCCCCAUUGUGACUGUAUUUGGAAACAGAACCUUUAGGGUUGUAAUUAAGGUUAAAUGAGGUUGUAAGGAUGGGACCCCAAUCCAAUAAGACUGGUGCCCUUAUAAGAAGAGGAAGAGACACCAGAGUGCAUCUUUCUCUGUGCACACAGAGAAAAGACCAUUUGAGGGCACAGUGAAGAACUGCUCUGCCAGCCAAGGAGAGAGGUCUCACCCAAAACCAACCCUGCUUGCACAUUCAUUUUAGACUUCCAGUCUCCAGAACUAUGAG
rnacentral:lncRNA from 1 species